rnacentral:rRNA from 1 species
UACGUAGGUGGCAAGCGUUGUCCGGAAUUAUUGGGCGUAAAGCGCGCGCAGGUGGUUUCUUAAGUCUGAUGUGAAAGCCCACGGCUCAACCGUGGAGGUCAUUGGAAACUGGGGAACUUGAGUGCAGGAGAGAAGAGUGGAAUUCCACGUAGUAGCGGUGGAAUGCGUAGAGAUGUGGAGGAACACCAGUAGGCGAAGGCGA